rnacentral:rRNA from 1 species
UACGAAGGGGGCUAGCGUUGUUCGGAAUUACUGGGCGUAAAGCGUAUGCAGGCGGACUUUUAAGUCGGGGGUGAAAUCCCGAGGCUCAACCUCGGAACUGCCUUCGAUACUGGAAGUCUUGAGUCCGGGAGAGGUGAGUGGAACUCCGAGUGUAGAGGUGAAAUUCGUAGAUAUUCGCAAGAACACCAGUGGCGAAGGCGGCUCACUGGCCCGAUACUGACGCUGAGGCACGAAAGCGUGGGGAGCAAACAGG